ACAGAUAUAUCAAGUAUUCAUGUGUACACCAAGCAAAUGCACUAGAGAGAGAGGGAGAGAUGAUGAUAUGCACGAUAGAUAUGACAUAAUUAUGCUAGAUAGCAAAUCUUAACUCUUAAAAGAAGAUAAUGAUGCUCAAAGAACAAUAAUAACGAUAAUGAUAACAAUGACAAUAGCAACAAGCAUGUGCUUAAACAAACCAGAAACCUUGAAAUCUAACAUAGCAAUCUAUGGAUCCUUCAUGACAAUUUAUUGAAGCAAUUUGUAUCCUUCUAUAUGAAUUAGCUGGACACUGAUUCCUCACU
rnacentral:lncRNA from 1 species